rnacentral:rRNA from 1 species
GGUGUCCACCUCUUCCCAUUCCGAACAGAGAAGUUAAGCCCACCAGAGCCGAUGGUACUGCGGUAACACGUGGGAGAGUAGGUCGGUGCCAGAU